GCAGUCGAACGAGAAAGCUCCCUUCGGGGAGUGAGUACAGUGGCGAACGGGUGAGUAACGGGUGGGAAACCUGCCUCUCUGCGGGGGAUAACAUUCCUAACGGGGUGCUAGUACCGCAUGGUCCGGUGCAUCGCAUGGUGUAUCGGUAAAGAUGGCCUCUACAUGUAAGCUGUCACAGAGAGAUGGUCCCGCCUCCCAUUAGCUUGUUGGUGGGGUAAUGGCCUACCAAGGCGACGAUGGGUAGCCGGCCUGAGAGGGUGUCCGGCCACACUGGGACUGAGAUACGGCCCAGACUCCUACGGGAGGCAGCAGUCGAGAAGCUUCGGCAAUGGGCGAAAGCCUGACCGAGCGACGCCGCGUGAGGGAUGACGGCCCUAGUGGUUGUAAACCUCUGUCAGGAGGGAAUAAAACGCGAUAGUAAAUAGCUAUCGUGCUUGAAGGUACCUCCAAAGGAAGCUCCGGCUAACUCCGUGCCAGCAGCCGCGGUAAUACGGAGGGAGCGAACGUUGUUCGGAUUUACUGGGUGUAAAGGGUGCGUAGGCGGCCCUGUGUGUCAGAGGUGAAAUCCCACGGCUCAACCGUGGAAUUGCCUUUGAAACUGCAGGGCUUGAGUCCGAGAGGGGAAGGUGGAAUUCCUGGUGUAACGGUGAAAUGUGCAGAUAUCAGGAAGAACACCCGUGGCGAAGGCGGCCUUCUGGCUCGGAACUGACGCUGAGGCACGAAAGCUAGGGUAUCGAACGGGAUUAGAUACCCCGGUAGUCCUAGCCGUAAACGAUGUCCACUAGGUGUUGGAGGUCCUACCCCUU
rnacentral:rRNA from 1 species